AGCAUGGACCUUCAAUUUUACACAGCAUCACCUAGAGAUCAAGAGAAAGCUGUAUUCAGAAUCACUUCAUACAAAUACUUGAGCUGUUGUUGUAUUGCACAGGUUUAUCUCACACCUGAAAUUAUGUUUAAAAGGCCAAACGAAGCUGCAUUUGCAACAAACUCUUGCAGUCGCAAAGCAGUAACAGUGAAUAUACUGGUGAAAUAACAGUUACUGUGUAAUCUUUUGUUUCAAGAAUGAGGCUUGCACUUCAUCAGAAUUAUUUGUCUUAUAUGUUCUUUGUGAGUUAAAAUGUCUAUUCCUGUGACCUAAAAAUCAUUCCAUCUUUGGGUAAAGUUAACUCAGCACUAUCUUAUACUUGCUCAAAGCAUGUUUUAAGGUUUGGAUGCUGUUUCUGUAAGUUAAAUCUAGAUGUGUAUUUAUUUAUUUAUUUAUUUGGGGUGUGUCUGUUGGGGGGAUCAUUCUUUCUGUUGAAGUACACAUGAAAGACCAUGCUAAAUAAAGAAUAAAGUGGCUAUGUAAGGAAGAGAAUAAUAGCUAUCUGGAGAAACCAGGGUUUCCAGCUUCUGAAAUGGAAUCGGCUUUAGGGAGUUAAGACUUUCUGAGGUAAGGAGGUAGAGCCUAAGAGGUGCAUCCCCUACUACACCCCCCA